CCUACGGGAGGCUGCAGUAGGGAAUCUUCCACAAUGGACGAAAGUCUGAUGGAGCAACGCCGCGUGAGUGAAGAAGGGGGGCGGAGUGUAAAGAGAGGGGGGGAGGGAAGAAAGAGAGAGGUAGUAACUGGCCUUUAUUUGACGGUAAUUACUUAGAAAGUCACGGCUAACUACGUGCCAGCAGCCGCGGUAAUACGUAGGUGGCAAGCGUUGUCCGGAUUUAUUGGGCGUAAAGCGAGUGCAGGCGGUUCAAUAAGUCUGAUGUGAAAGCCUUCGGCUCAACCGGAGAAUUGCAUCAGAAACUGUUGAACGUGAGUGCAGAAGAGGAGAGUGGAACUCCAUGUGUAGCGGUGGAAUGCGUAGAUAUAUGGAAGAACACCAGUGGCGAAGGCGGCUCUCUGGUCUGCAACUGACGCUGAGGCUCGAAAGCAUGGGUAGCGAACAGGAUUAUCUCCCCUUGUAGUC
rnacentral:rRNA from 1 species